rnacentral:rRNA from 1 species
UCGAGAAUCUUCCGCAAUGGGCGAAAGCCUGACGGAGCGAUGUCGCGUGAGGGAUGAAGGCCUUCGGGUUGUAAACCUCUGUCGCCCGGGACGAAAUAAAUGACGGUACCGGGAGAGGAAGCUACGGCUAACUACGUGCCAGCAGCCGCGGUAAUACGGAGGUAGCAAGCGUUAUUCGGAUUUGCUUGGCGUAAAGGGUCUGCAGGGGUCCUGCCAAGUCUGGCGUGAAAUUCCAAGGCUCAACCUUGGAACUGCGUGGGAUACUGGCGGGCUAGAGUGCAUGAGGGGAGAACAGAAUACCUGGUGUAGCGGUGGAAUGCGCAGAUAUCAGGUGGAACACCGACGGCGAAGGCGGUUCUCUGGCAUGCAACUGACCCUGAGGGACGAAAGCGUGGGGAGCAAACA